UAGAAAGAGUGGCCGAAUUUCGAGACCUGAAUCGCGUCUAGACAGCAAGCCUCUGUUUACAGUUUACGGAACACGAACUGAAGACGGUCGUUGCACCUAGUGCGACAGAAGCUCUGGAAUAAAUCCGGAAGUGCACUCGAGAUAGAGGAAGAGAGAGAGAAAGAGAGAAAAAGAGAGAGAGAGAGAGAAAAGAAGGGACGUGCGGAAAGGGCGUGCUCGAACUUCAUGGGACCCGGUUGUCUAGGAAGGUAGCACAUAAAAUCGCAAAUGAAUUCUCUUUCGAGACUCGCGAAUCUCUGAAAGAGUAAAUACGGGCUUCACCGCCCUCUCUUCUUGCAUCGUUCGAAAAACGCGUUGUUUCUUUUGCCCUGUUAGCAUACUUGGUUCUUUUAUAUCGUCACGUUACAAAACUCUGCUCGAAUUUGAAUGAUCGAGUUCGUAAGUGAAAAGGAUCUCGACUGUGUGUUUCGACACCAUUCUGUUUGUUCCGUGUCGCAACGUAACACGUGCGACUUCGUGUUCCUCUUCACGUUUACACCACGUAGCCGCCACGUUCGUAGUCGACGAAUCGUAGAAACGUUCUACUUCCUUUCCUUCUCUUUUCGUUGUGUCCGUGGCAGAACGUCGACGCGUAAAGAACUCGGACGCAUUUAUUCGAGUGACUGGCGAAGAGGGAAAGAGAGUAGGAGCCCGCCCCGAACAACGAUCAGUGGAAUUAGCAGGAACGUUCGUUGUAAAUCGACUUUAAUCAGAAAAAUCCGCCGCGUUUGUGCCACAUUAAACAAGCUCUUUGCAGUGCCGAGAGACUUGUCUUGUUGAGAGGGCAAUCACAACUCCAUCUAUUCUCGGAAACGUUUGAAAAAUUUGUUGGCAAAAAUCGCUGGUUGAUCUGAAUUGUUUCCCUGAUUUUAUCAAUCGAGGCACAUGGUGUGUAAAUCUCUGGAUACUUUCGACUAUUUUGAAAUAUUCGAUACUUCGAUUAAGUCGCGAAUCACCUCGACUCCGCUGGGAGGGAAGCCAACGCGGUGUACAACCGACCUGGAUUAGCCUCACCGGGUAUAACGGUGAUUAACAUUUACGAGCCGUGUUUCAAACCGGCCCACGAAAGAGUCGCACAUCAUCGUUUGUGUGUCCACGCGACAGAGACUAGACUACCGUGUUACGGUUCCGUCAGUCAUCACCGAGAAUUCGUACUUCCUUCCUCUACGGCUACUGUUUGUGGCAAAUAAUCGCGUCCGAAACGAGUCCACCCUCGCGGAAGCAAGGAUGGCGAUGCUGGUACCGACCUUUCGUUUUGAUUCCAGUUAACUGUCCUCGAGUUUGGACGAUAUGGACACGUCCCCGCGGGAUGUCUGACAGAACGAAUUUGGAAAAGCUGGGCUGUUAUGAGAAUUGCGCGAUCUCGAGUUCGAGGAUACUUGUACACAAUAUGGUAGACGAAAAUAGAUGGAGCAGGAAUUCGAUUUUCAAAUCCAAGCUCGAGCCAAGUGAAAAGGGCCAGACGCUAAAGCGAAACCUACAUGUUGGAUGACUUAGUGGGGAAAAUUCUAUUCCGUGUGCUUAGUUUAAAUAACAGUAAUCCACAACGAAUUGAUUACAAUGCACGUAUCGAUUAUAAUGACAAUGCAACUGGUCUUUAUACAGAGAUAGAAGCAAUUUGCUGGGCAUUAAAGAAAAUAAUGGAGCAGAGGAUGGACAAUUAUGUUAUUGGAACGAUUCCCUUGUGGACAUUGACGAUCUACUUCCUUCGCUCUAAUUCGCCACCGUUUAGAGAAAAUGAAAAUAACGAUAAAGCAGCAUGGACAAAACGGUUUGCUUUUAGUUUCGUUGUUGGAGGACCUUAAUGUCUCGUUCAGAGGAUUUCAAUUGUUUUCAAUUGCGUUCAAUGAUGAUCUGUGUAACGCUUUAAAUUUGGAUCGAUCGAGAUCACAGAGCGUGGCUGCGACAAACGAAUAUGAUCGCAACUGUACGAUGAAAUUUCGUACCAAGAUUUCGGAAGAUUUACAAUAAAAGUCGAACACGAGGUACGACUUGAAUUUCCUAUUUGCCCGGUAAUACGCGCGGUCAACGAUUUCACAGUUAUCAAGAUUAUCUUAUCAGAGUGUGCCUUUUACUACGCUUCGUGUUGUUACACGUGACAUUCUUGGGACCUUUCUAUGUCACGUUCCAAGCGUCGCAACGAUUCACGAGAAAAAUCGUGAUUAUUCCGAUAAAUAACAUACACGGAACUACUGCAGCUCUUAUUACAAAAAAUUGAUUAAUUAUUGCAUAAGAGAAUGUUGCAAGUUAAACGUCGACUGAAAUAUCAGCAACGUUGCUCAACAUAUUUUGUUGACAACUAAGUGAUUGCGGAUUUUGUCAUUAGGUGGUAAUGACAAAAUCCGCAAUCACUUAGUUGCCAACAAAAUAGAUCAUUAUAUGCGAUACCUAUGCCCUUGUGAGAAUAUGAAUUUUUCAUUUUUGCGAUCUUUGUAUGAAUUUCUCACCUAAAAGCUAAAGAAAGAAUAUAUCCGCAAAUCACAUACGUAUGGCUGCCUAUUCAAUGUUAAUCAACGUUUACUAAUUAGUUUGAUGCAAACGUUAUUCCACUGAUCUUCCACUCGUUGUUUUUAUAUUAUUUCCAAAAGUCUCUAGAUUUACUUAAAUUUUUAGUAAACUUUGCACGUAAUUCUUAGCGAAUUACUUGAUAGGAAAUACAGAAAUGUCCAGACGAUAUAGAAAUCGCGAGUCAUCAACGAUUUCACGCGACGUCUCGAUGAUUUAUCGAGACCACGUAAUUGUUUAAACAGUCUGGCGCUGAUUUCUGUUUCGCACGGUCGUAGUAUAUACGAACGAUGAUAAUUGCAGUGUUUACAGAAUCGCGCGUAAAAUCAAAACGACGAGCGGUGCGAGUAAUUAUUUCCUCUGUGUAAUUUCCGUAGUGAUCAUCGGCUAGCCACGAUUCUUCCUCCGAAAUGUCAAAUUAUUUCCGUGCGUUCCUCCACGAGACAAAACUCGCCAACGACGCAGAAAAUCUCCGCGACAUCGGAGAUUUUAUUUCUUAAGAAUUUAUGAAUUCGAACAACGAUCCGACCGAUCUGUCUCAUCGACGAUAAUUUGUAUCUUUCCACCUUCUUUUUUCGUUUUUCCUAGCUCGGUAACUAUAAGAGAUAACGGUGCACGUGAUAUAAAGCUUAUCUACUCGUCUCUUAUCUAUUAACGCAGCCUCGUAGUAACGAUCGUACUUGGAAUUCGUGCAAUUUCAACUUCUCCGUGGAAUAUCAUAGAUAUACGGACGAUUGAAAACGUUUCCUGAAAGUAGUCGUAAUUAAACGUCGAUUCUCGGCUAAGUAAAUUACAGUUAUUAGACACGAGACGCUUCUGCAACGAGACGAUGGGGUUGGAAAACGCAGCCUGUUCGAUGAGAAAAGUGCGCUACCGCUCCGUGAAUAUUUCCUGUUGAAAUUACCGUUGCUUCGAAUAUUUCUCGAGUCUCCGGCUUUAACCCCUACCGUUUCCCUCGCCUCUUUUUCGCGUUUAUGUUCGUAUCUUCCUCUCGAAUUAUCAAAUUCCCCGAUAACGAAGACCGUAGGGUACACAAAAGAUUGUCUGAAAAUCAUCCGCGAUAGAAUCGAAGAAAUUUUAGUAAUCGAAGAGAGAAGGAGUUCCCCAAGGAACGGAGUUGUAGGAAUAAAAGUUGGUAAUUAGAGCAAUGUAAGCGGCGAAAAUUACCUCCUACCGAGUCGCCUAGGAAUACUUCGUACAAGUUGGGAACAGAGGAUACAGACCCAGAUCGAGGAAGAACUUUCCUUUGAAUAGUACUCUAAGUAAAGGGAAACUCUCGAAGACCAGGAACGAAACGGAAAUGUAAUUUGAAACUUGGCAAGGCUGUCCGAACAUCGUCGAAUGAAUCUGCUUAUAAAAAUCGACAUAACAAUUUUUCUAUCUACUUUACAUUGAAUACUUUAUAUAUUAUAUAUAUUUUUCUUUGUCGUACUCUUUGCAUUUCUGCCUUCAUAAAUUUCCUAUAAAUGCAUAAAAAUUCGUCGUUUAAUCAACGUGUACGUGUCUCGCUUCGUAGAUAAAGCACCGCGUUUAAUUACACGCGAUGUUAUCUAUCCUAAUGAAAGCGACGUAGUGUUUCUAAACGGAUAUCUAUAAACCUACCUUAAUCCAGGUCUCGUUCCAUCGAUAUCGUUUUAUAGUUGGGUACAAACUUUCAAGUUCUUGCAGAGUCGCUUAAAAGCUGCGCAAGAAGCUUUCCGGCCGUUUAAUAUCGCGGCUGCAUAAAAAGGAAAUCACGCCUGUGGAUUAUAAAUCGCUUACGAACACGUUCAACCUGUUCCCGGUAUUUUCUUUAUCCAAAACGGCGAACCUAGGUGGGACGAUAUUAACGUUAAAAGCUCGUUGCAAAUGAAGCUCGAUGGCGGGUGCGAGCAGCUGGCAAAGUACGACGAGCUGUCGAUAGUUAUCUUCCACGGAAUUGCAACGAAACUUUUCCGCGCUCUGAGACAAUGAGAAAACUUUGGCGAAUCGACUUCCCCCCUCCCCUUCACCCUUUCUCUUUUGCUCUUUUCCUUUGUCUUUCUUUUUUCCCUUUUUUUUCUCCUUUUAGAGAAGAGAUGGCUGCAACCGGUCGCGACGUAGACCAAGCGUCGGAUAUUUGAAAUUUCCGUGGAGAAGUUUUGCGCGCAUGAAUUACCAAGCUGAACCGACGGAUGCUGAUCGCUCGUUAUCAUGCAUGCAACGCGCGUUGAAUUUUAACGGGAGCACACGCCGAGCUGCGAACCGGCAGAACGCGCUUCCUGACGGCAAUCCGACGAAAAAGUUUAAUUAAGUCGCGGGUAAGGUGUUUUGUUUGUUUCACGAGCAACUUGACUUGUCGGUGGCGAUGAUUUAGAUUUCAAACUUUAGAUCAGCGCCUCUUCGUCUCUUCGUGUUCUAUCAUAGCCGAGUAACUUUUCCAUUUAGAAAUUAUGGGAUUUGUUUAAGGAAGAGAUCAUCGUGCCCAAGAAAUUGCCAAUUCGAGUAACGUUAACAGAUAAACAAAGGCAAUUACGACUAGCGUUUUAUUCGCUUUAUAGAUCGCCACUGUGAGUAGAAAUGGGUGAGUGAGAUUUAAUUUGUUUGCAACGACGACACGAUACCGUUGUUUCGGCUAAUUUAUUUAAUUGUAUUUGCGAUGAAUACAAUGGCGAAGCAAUUGCGGUAAAAGCAAUUAUGAAUCAUCGUUUAUGGCGUGGCAGAUUACUCAUUGGUCGAUCGACUGAUUGCAUUUCAAGUUCCUGAAUAUUUCCGGGCGUUGGAUGUUUGUUAAAGAUUCAUUUAACAGAUACCAUACGUCAACGAAGAAUGUACAUUGAAGUGACCUGCGUGCACCAGAUCUGGCCUAGUAGAAUUUUCAAAAGCAAGGCCUAAUGGCAUUAGGUCAGGUCAGGUCGUCCGAAAGGACACGGCUAUAUUUCAGAUAUCUACGUACCAACGAAGACCAAACUAAAAAUGGCAAGAGUCUUCGAUAUUCGGACGAAUAUAAAAGAAAGCCCCCGAAUAAUCUAAUUACUCACUAACAUCGAUGAUAUAUUGAACCCUGGAAAAUUCUAGUUCCGAAAAAGCUAACAGAUAUCGUAAUGAAGCGAAGUGCGAAGGAUCAAGUGUGUCAACGAAGCAAACAUAGUCGAGAAGCAGGGAUUGUUGAUUGUUGACUGUUGAUUGUCAAAUAAAUUAUAUUGUUAAA